CACAGGAACGGGAACCACAAGUUCAGUACCAACAAACUCACAAAAAAUGAGCCCAAAUUUAGCAUUACUUGCAAGCCAGACUAAGAAAUUUCAAGAAGAUAAUUUAAAAGAAGACAAUAGAAUAAAAUAAUAUUAACACACAAUGCUUAGCAAAUAUAGCAUUAACAGAUGGAAACCAGGCAAUAGGUGUAGCAAAAUAGAAGAUGAAGGUCUAGCUGUGCCAGUGCU
rnacentral:lncRNA from 1 species